UACGUAGGGACCGAGCGUUGUCCGGAAUCAUUGGGCGUAAAGAGCGUGUAGGCGGCCUUUUAAGUCCUGCGUGAAAUCCUGCGGCUCAACCGCAGACGGUCGUGGGAAACUGGAAGGCUAGAGUGCGGGAGAGGAGAGUGGAAUUCCCGGUGUAGCGGUGAAAUGCGCAGAUAGUCGGGAAGAACACCCGUGGCGAAGGCGGCUCUCUGGAACGCAACUGACGCUGAGACGGCGAAAAGCGUGGGGAGCCGAACGAGGA
rnacentral:rRNA from 1 species